rnacentral:rRNA from 1 species
GACGAACGCUGGCGGCGUGCUUAACACAUGCAAGUCGAGCGGAAAGGCCCUUCGGGGUACUCGAGCGGCGAACGGGUGAGUAACACGUGAGUAACCUGCCCUUGGCUCUGGGAUAAGCCCGGGAAACUGGGUCUAAUACCGGAUAUGACCAUCAGAUGCAUGUCUUGGUGGUGGAAAGAUUUUCGGCUGGGGAUGGGCUCGCGGUCUAUCAGCUUGUUGGUGGGGUGAUGGCCUACCAAGGCGACGACGGGUAGCCGGCCUGAGAGGGUGACCGGCCACACUGGGACUGAGACACGGCCCAGACUCCUACGGGAGGCAGCAGUGGGGAAUAUUGCGCAAUGGGCGGAAGCCUGACGCAGCGACGCCGCGUGGGGAUGAA